GGACGGGUGAGUAACACGUGGGUAACCUACCCAUCAGCGGGGGAUAACACUUGGAAACAGGUGCUAAUACCGCAUAAUUGCUUUUUACUGCAUAGUAGAAGUAUGAAAGACGCUUUCGGGUGUCACUGAUGGAUGGACCUGCGGUGCAUUAGCUAGUUGGUGAGAUAAAAGCCCACCAAGGCGACGAUGCAUAGCCGACCUGAGAGGGUGAUCGGCCACACUGGGACUGAGACACGGCCCAG
rnacentral:rRNA from 1 species